rnacentral:rRNA from 1 species
GGCGACCGCUUUGGGAGUUCGAUUAAGCCAUGCGAGUCGUGAGUCUUAGGGACUCGGCAUACUGCUCAGUAACACGUGGAUAACCUGCCCUAUCGUCUGGAAUAACCUCGGGAAACUGAGAACAAGGCCGGAUAGUUCACAAUGCCUGGAACGGUUUGUGAAUCAAGGUAGGAUGGGUCUGCGGCGUAUCAGGUUGUAGGGGGUGUAAAGGACCCCCUAGCCUUCGACGCGUACGGGUGUUGGGAGACAUAGCCCGGAGAUGGAUUCUGAGACACGAAUCCAGACCCUACGGGGGUGCAGCAGGCGCGAAAACUUCACACUGCAGGAAGCUGUGAUGAGGGAACUCCUAGUGCAUGCACUAUGUGUAUGUAGAUCCUACUCUUAACAAGUAGAGGGAAAGGGCUGGGAAAGACCGGUGCCAGCCGCCGCGGUAAUACCGGCAGCUUAAGUGGUCGUCGCUUUUAUUGGGCCUAAAACGUCCGUAGCCUGUUUGGUAAAUCUGUGGGUAAAUCAAUCCGCUCAACGGAUUGAAUUCUGCAGAGACUGCCAGACUAGGGACCGGGAGAGGUGUGGGGUACUCGAGGGGUAGGGGUAAAAUCCUGUCAUCCUUCGAGGACCACCAGUUGCGAAGGCGCCACACUGGAACGGAUCCGACGGUCAGGGACGAAGCCUAGGGGCACGAACCGGAUUAGAUACCCGGGUAGUCCUAGGUGUAAACGCUGUGAACUUGGUGUCGGGGGUCCGCAAGGGGUCCCCGGUGCCGGAGUGAAGAUGUUAAGUUCACUGCCUGGGGAGUACGGUCGCAAGGCUGAAACUUAAAGGAAUUGGCGGGGGAGCACUGCAACGGGAGGAGCGUGCGGUUU